ensembl:lncRNA
CAAACGUAGUCGAAAUAAUGAAGCUGCAAAACGGUCGCGUCAGCGCAAGCGCAUGGAGGAAUAUUUCUUGGAAACACGCGCCGUUGAACUUCUUCGGGAAAAUGAAAAGCUGAAGGCUGCGCUUUCUGCAGUUCAUUAUCAUGGCCUCGGUGUAAAAUAUCCUCUUGGUACUAUAGUGGAAUAUCCCAUAGCGCAAGAACUGCCAAGAGAUGCUUAUCUGCGUUCUUUGGUAGAGUUCUCUGGCCCUGCGGCGCUGACCCCAUUGGCAGAAACCAACUGUUUGUCUUAUGCUCUCUCUGGCCGAUGCAGAUCAGACAAUAUAAUGCAUCGUUUCAGUUCAGCCUACGAUUCUGUUUCCUUCGCGGGGAUGACCACUGCUCCAAUCAUGCCGAAAGUCGCUCUCAGGGGAGACGUCCGUGAAAGAGGCUGGAAUGUCGGCAGUCACUCGGGAAUCCAAGCGUGCAACGAUGGAUGUAGUCCCGCAAAUGUACUUAUACCCGUUGCCUAUGAAGUGUCCCAGAGGAAAGGAGUGCAUAGCAAUGUCCUCUCCACGAUGGACUCAUCCCAGGACAGUUUUUCGGGUGGUUUUUCAUUAGGUGGGACUAUACCGAAUUACUCACAGCUAACUGCCUCAGCGCCUGGCCGUGUUACGCGUAUUGUGAUGGAUAAACCUUUCACCGAAGAUAGUGCUCCAAUCAUUGCAGAGGCCAAAGGCAUUCGUAAAGAACUUAAAACCAUUAAACAAACAGAACGUGUGUCUAUGAGCCCACGUCUGCCACACAAAUUGCGCUACAAAGUUAAUAAAGCGACACAUGGAGAGAAUGAAUUGUAGAUCACAUGGUCUCCUCGUCCUGGCAAUUCUAACCAUGAUGUCUGAGAAUAAAGUAAAUUGCAUUGUUCCAGGCAAAAUGUACGCAAUAUUGACGGUAGUCAAUAGACGUUGAGCUAUCUAUUUCAAUUGUCUAAUCUAUAGGGUAAUUUAUCGGUGAAGAUAGAGUUAGGAAACGUGUUAUUUUU